CUACGGGUCGCAGCAGUGAGGAAUAUUGCACAAUGGGGGGAACCCUGAUGCAGCAACGCCGCGUGGAGGAUGACGCAUUUCGGUGUGUAAACUCCUCUUAUAUGUCAAGAAAAUGACGGUAGCAUAUGAAUAAGCACCGGCUAACUCCGUGCCAGCAGCCGCGGUAAUACGGAGGGUGCAAGCGUUACUCGGAAUCACUGGGCGUAAAGGACGCGUAGGCGGGUUGGAAAGUCAGGUGUGAAAUCCUACAGCAUAACUGUAGAACUGCACUUGAAACUUCUAAUCUAGAGUAUGGGAGGGGGAGAUGGAAUUAGUGGUGUAGGGGUAAGAUCCGUAGAUAUCACUAGGAAUACCUAAAGCGAAGGCGAUCUCCUGGAACAUUACUGACGCUAAGGCGUGAAAGCGUGGGGAGCAAACAGGAUUAGAUACCCGGGUAGUC
rnacentral:rRNA from 1 species